GGGUUGCGGACAGUGUCUGGUGGGUAGUUUGACUGGGGCGGUCUCCUCCUAAAGAGUAACGGAGGAGCACGAAGGUCAGCUAAUCCUGGUCGGACAUCAGGAGGUUAGUGCAAUGGCAUAAGCUGGCUUGACUGCGAGCGUGACGGCGCGAGCAGGUGCGAAAGCAGGUCAUAGUGAUCCGGUGGUUCUGAAUGGAAGGGCCAUCGCUCAACGGAUAAAAGGUACUCCGGGGAUAACAGGCUGAUACCGCCCAAGAGUUCAUAUCGACGGCGGUGUUUGGCACCUCGAUGUCGGCUCAUCACAUCCUGGGGCUGAAGUAGGUCCCAAGGGUAUGGCUGUUCGCCAUUUAAAGUGGUACGCGAGCUGGGUUUAGAACGUCGUGAGACAGUUCGGUCCCUAUCUGCCGUGGGCGCUGGAGAAUUGAGGGGGGCUGCUCCUAGUACGAGAGGACCGGAGUGGACGCAUCACUGGUGUUCGGGUUGUCAUGCCAAUGGCAUUGCCCGGUAGCUAAAUGCGGAAGAGAUAAGUGCUGAAAGCAUCUAAGUACGAAACUUGCCCCGAGAUGAGUUCUCCCUGACUCCUUGAGAGUCCUGAAGGAACGUUGAAGACGACGACGUUGAUAGGCCGGGUGUGUAAGCGCAGCGAUGCGUUGAGCUAACCGGUACUAAUGAACCGUGAGGCUUAACCUU
rnacentral:rRNA from 1 species